GCAGGGAUGCCGGAGAGGUCGAACGGGUGGGGUUUAGGACCCCAUGACUUAGCGUCUUCGAAGGUUCGAAUCCUUCUCCCUGCA
rnacentral:tRNA from 1 species